GACGUAGGGGGCAAGCGUUGUCCGGAUUUAUUGGGCGUAAAGAGCGUGUAGGCGGCUUGGCAAGUCCGCUGUGAAAACUCGAGGCUCAACCUCGAGACGUCGGUGGAAACUGCCUGGCUAGAGUCCGGAAGAGGAGAGCGGAAUUCCUGGUGUAGCGGUGAAAUGCGCAGAUAUCAGGAGGAACACCGGUGGCGAAGGCGGAUCUCUGGGCCGAUACUGACGCUGAGGAGCGAAAGCGUGGGGAGCGAACAGG
rnacentral:rRNA from 1 species